rnacentral:rRNA from 1 species
CAGAGAUGCUUUGGUGCCUUCGGGAACUCUGAGACAGGUGCUGCAUGGCUGUCGUCAGCUCGUGUUGUGAAAUGUUGGGUUAAGUCCCGCAACGAGCGCAACCCUUAUCCUUUGUUGCCAGCGGUUAGGCCGGGAACUCAAAGGAGACUGCCAGUGAUAAACUGGAGGAAGGUGGGGAUGACGUCAAGUCAUCAUGGCCCUUACGAGUAGGGCUACACACGUGCUACAAUGGCGCAUACAAAGAGAAGCGACCUCGCGAGA